rnacentral:rRNA from 1 species
AUGGAGGGACUCUUGCAUUGGGACUUUGCUCCGAGCCUUUUCCUUACUGAUCAUGUGAGAAGAAAAUUUGGUUCUAUGGUUCACUUUUCCCCCUCGAGAGACCCCAAAGAAUUUUUCUUGGUGGUCUCAUUUUCCUCGGCAUCUUUCCUUCUUACGGUGGAAUAUGUUAGUAUUGCUCUCCAAUGCUAUCUUGGUAGUGUGAGUGCUAGUUUCAAAGUGAUACAAAUCAACUUGCAAACAUUUCAUUUCUCGGUUGUUAAUAACAAAGUGGGGAACUUCAUCUAUAGAUUCUGUGAUCGAAUGUGGCCGGAUUUUAUUUUUCACUUUCAUCUCUUCAAUGGCCGUUUUACUUGA